GACGAACGCUGGCGGCGUGCUUAACACAUGCAAGUCGAACGGAAAGGCCUCUUUCGGGGGGUACUCGAGUGGCGAACGGGUGAGUAACACGUGAGUAACCUGCCCUUGACUUUGGGAUAACUUCAGGAAACUGGGGCUAAUACCGGAUAGGAGCUCCUGCUGCGUGGUGGGGGUUGGAAAGUUUCGGCGGUUGGGGAUGGACUCGCGGCUUAUCAGCUUGUUGGUGGGGUAGUGGCUUACCAAGGCUUUGACGGGUAGCCGGCCUGAGAGGGUGACCGGCCACAUUGGGACUGAGAUACGGCCCAGACUCCUACGGGAGGCAGCAGUGGGGAAUAUUGCACAAUGGGUGGAAGCCUGAUGCAGCAACGCCGUGUGCGGGAUGACGGCCUUCGGGUUGUAAACCGCUUUCGCUCAUGACGAAGCUUUGUGUGACGGUAGUGGGUAAAGAAGCACCGGCUAACUACGUG
rnacentral:rRNA from 1 species